rnacentral:rRNA from 1 species
GAUGAACGCUAGCUAUAGGCUUAACACAUGCAAGUCGAGGGGAAACGGCAUUAUGUGCUUACACAUUUUGGACGUCGACCGGCGCACGGGUGAGUAUCGCGUAUCCAACCUGCCCUUUACUUGGGGAUACCCCGUUGAAAGACGGCCUAAUACCCGAUGUAAUUCAUUGAUGGCAUCAGAUAUGAAUAAAAGAUUUAUCGGUAAAGGAUGGGGAUGCGUCUGAUUAGCUUGCUGGUGAGGUAACGGCUCACCAAGGCAACGAUCAGUAGGGGUUCUGAGAGGAAGGUCCCCCACAUUGGAACUGAGACACGGUCCAAACUCCUACGGGAGGCAGCAGUGAGGAAUAUUGGUCAAUGGGCGCAAGCCUGAACCAGCCAAGUAGCGUGCAGGAAGACGGCCCUAUGGGUUGUAAACUGCUUUUAUACGAGAAUAAUUUGAUGCACGUGUGCGUUAUUGCAUGUAUCGUAUGAAUAAGGACCGGCUAAUUCCGUGCCAGCAGCCGCGGUAAUACGGAAGGUCCAGGCGUUAUCCGGAUUUAUUGGGUUUAAAGGGAGUGUAGGCGGUUUGUUAAGCGUGUUGUGAAAUUUAGGUGCUCAACAUUUAACUUGCAGCGCGAACUGGCGAACUUGAGUGCACACAACGUAUGCGGAAUUCAUGGUGUAGCGGUGAAAUGCUUAGAUAUCAUGAAGAACUCCGAUUGCGAAGGCAGCAUACGGGAGUGUAACUGACGCUUAAGCUCGAAGGUGCGGGUAUCGAACAGG